rnacentral:sRNA from 1 species
ACCUCUGGAAGAGCAGUCAGCGCUCCUAGUUGCUGAGCCAUCUUUGUAUAUAGACAGAUAAAUGCUUGUCUUGUAGAGUUAAAAUACGAAGCCGGGUAGUUGCUGGGGAAAGAGAGUGAAAAGCCUGCUAAUCUGUCUUCUAUAGCAGAGGCCCCAGGGGGUGGGUUGUUGUUUGUUUGUUUGCUUCCUUUUGUUUGUUUGUUUCCAUGCCUACAAUCAGCCAAUGAGUGGUCCUGUUGCUCCAGCCCUCCACAGCACUGGCUGCUAUUAGAGUUCCUGAUCAUUUGCAAAGCAUCAAUGGCAGAGGUAAAGAAUAAAUCCUAUCGGUCCAUUUCCACCAUGAGAUGUGUUUAGAGCUCACUGGAGAAUCACAAAGAAGCAGGAGGCGGUAGCUUCCUGUCUUCCCUCGCUGGAGGAUGGAGCUUGCUCAUUGACGCCGUCUCAAUUCAUCCUGGGGUUUGCAAAGUUCCAGUCAGUCUGCUGUGUUGCUGAGCCCAUGUAUCAGAAAGAGAGGGAAUCUCAGGCUCCAGGAUGUACUUUAGGGGUUGGGAGUAUGCUGACUGGGAGAGUGCUUACCCAGCAUGCACUGAGCCCUGGGCGUGGUCCUCAGCAGUAAAUACAGGAGGUGUGGUGAGUAUGCCUGUCACACUAGCACUCAGGAAAAUGGAAGCAGAUAAAUCAGGUCAAGAUUAUCUUUGGCUGCAUAGGGAAGCUGAGGCCAGCCUGGGCUACAUGAGGUCUGUUUUUUGGGGGUUUUUUGUUUGUUUAUUUUUGUUUCUUAAAGAAGAAAGCAGAGAAAGGCCUUCCUACUGACGAAGCAUUUGCCACAUAGGCCCCUUUCAGCACCUUCUUUUUCACUUCCCACUUCCUUCUUGGCACUCAGCUGUUCUAGGUAGAAUGAGGGUUGGAGAGAGAAAGCCAGGUUCUGAUGAGCAAUGGGGGUUUCUCUUCCUCCCUGCCUUCUUGGCAGGGUUAUUGAGUAUCCAGUGAGUACAGGGCCUGGAGCUGAUGUGGGGAUCAGAAAAGAUAUCUCCUCAUGCUAGAGGCAACACAGAGCAGGCCACAAGGGAGGUCUCCAAGGGAGGAGGAUUUAGGUUGCGACUUGGAGGAACCGGGGAGGUGGCUCAGUAGUAGAAGCUCUGAGGCAAGCAGCAGGCACGAGGACCAGAGUUUGGAUUCCCAGAGCCCAUGUAAACGAAGGAUGAGCCUAUCUGUCCUGAUAUUCAGAAAGUAGAGACAGGAAAUGCCCCAGAGAAAGAUGCAGGCUAGGCAAGGCUGUACCAGUGAGCCCUGGGUUCACGUGAGAGGCCCCACCUUGACAGAAAAAAUGGAGAGUAACAGAGGGAGAGGCCCAAUAUCCUUAGCCCUCCACAUGCAAGUGUCGAAGGGCUGACAGGGCCUUCUGCAGCCUUGGCCAUCUCUGCAAGGACAUCCGAGGUGAUCAGCUGGGAAGGAACCUACAUCAUGGCCCUCCAUAGCUAUCUCAGGAAGAAGGAAAUCUUCAAGAAGAACAGGGGCAAACCUUGGUGAGUCAGCUCUGCACUCAGUGCUUCCUCGUAUCCCCCCAGGAUCCUGCGCAUUGCCUUCUGAGCCCAUUCUCUCUUGUGUUAAACAGUGGGUAAGCAUGUUCUCCUAAAUCUCCCUGGGUCUUCUAUCCAUCUGUGACACCCUGUACACCAAUGUGACUGUGGCAGACUCCCCAAGAGAGUCUCUCAUUCCAGUAUCUUGACAGAUGAAGCUUGGAGAGGCUGAGGGACAAGUCCAAGGGGCUGCAGGAAAGGAACGGUCCUGGUCCAGAUGAGAAGGAGAGCAGGCCAAGGAGGCAGCACCAUCAACAGGCGGCCCAGCCCCCUGACUCCACUUUGUGGAAGCCCACCUUUGGCAAGCGUCCACGGGCAGACAGGCCACAGGAGAGGCGGGGAUAAAAAUAGCAGCUCAGCUGAGCGUCUGCCAUGUGCCAGCCACUCUUGAGAAGCACAUCAAAAAUCAGCUCAUCCAAGCCUCAGCUCCCCACGGUGGAGGUGCUGUCACGCCUCUGUCUCGCCGCAGGAAGACUGACAACCAACCGUGCAGCCAGCAAGAAGCACGCGGUUACCUCGUCCAGCACCACGACAAACGCCUGGUGUGUUACCCACAUCCUAAGAGAAUGAAGGUUGUUUGGGCUCACAGUUCAGACUCGUAGAUAAGCAGCACGUGCUGAGGGCGAGCACAGCGGAGCAAGGCUGCUCAGAAGCUCGUGACCCAGAAAUCAAAACUGAGAAGAGGAAGAGACAGCACUGGAAGGAGGCCUCAGGAUCGACACAUGAGGACAAACCCACUCUGAGCAUCUCCCACCAGGCCUCAGUUUUUAAGGUUUCUGCCAUUGCUGCCUGUGAGUGGUGCCAGGCCCCCCCCCCCUCUCUCUCU